rnacentral:rRNA from 1 species
UCCAGACUCCUACGGGAGGCAGCAGUGGGGGAUAUUGCACAAUGGGGGGAACCCUGAUGCAGCGACGCCGCGUGGGUGAAGGAGCGUUUCGGCGCGUAAAGCCCUCUCGGCAGGGAAGAAGGAGGACGGUACCUGACUAAGAAGCCCCGGCUAACUACGUGCCAGCAGCCGCGGUAAUACGUAGGGGGCAAGCGUUAUCCGGAUUUACUGGGUGUAAAGGGGGCGCAGACGGCAGCGCAAGCCAGGAGUGAAAGCCCGGGGCCCAACCCCGGGACUGCUCUUGGAACUGCGCGGCUGGAGUGCAGGAGGGGCAGGCGGAAUUCCUGGUGUAGCGGUGAAAUGCGUAGAUAUCAGGAGGAACACCGGCGGCGAAGGCGGCCUGCUGGACCGUGACUGACGUUGAGGCUCGAGAGCGUGGGGAGCAAACAGGAUUAGAUACCCCGGUA